AACGCAAAUUGCGCCCCAGGCUUCGGCCAAAGGCAUGUCUGCCUCAGCGUCGGCUUCACCCCUCCUCUCCCCUUUUCCUUUCAAGAGAGGAAAAAGCGGAGAGGGACCUGGCGGUCUCGGCCCUCGCGGCCGGGUCCGCCGAAGCACAGAGGCUCGAGCAGGACCCUUCCAAAGGGCAACAGUCUGGUAGGCGACCCCCCGCGGGUCGCAUGCCGCUGGUGCCUCGGGUGCCUGCUGACCGAGUCCGCAGGAAGUGGCCUCGCGGCCACGCCCCUUACCUUUCGACCUGAGUUCAGGCAAGAGCACCCGCUGAACUUAA
rnacentral:misc_RNA from 1 species